GACGAACGCUGGCGGCGUGCUUAACACAUGCAAGUCGAACGGAAAGGCCCUGCUUGCAGGGUACUCGAGUGGCGAACGGGUGAGUAACACGUGGGUGAUCUGCCCUGCACUUCGGGAUAAGCUUGGGAAACUGGGUCUAAUACCGGAUAGGAGCCAUCUUUAGUGUGGUGGUUGGAAAGUUUUUUCGGUGUAGGAUGAGCUCGCGGCCUAUCAGCUUGUUGGUGGGGUAAUGGCCUACCAAGGCGGCGACGGGUAGCCGGCCUGAGAGGGUGUACGGCCACAUUGGGACUGAGAUACGGCCCAGACUCCUACGGGAGGCAGCAGUGGGGAAUAUUGCACAAUGGGCGCAAGCCUGAUGCAGCGACGCCGCGUGGGGGAUGAAGGCCUUCGGGUUGUAAACUCCCUUCGCUAGGGACGAAGCUUUGUUGUGACGGUACCUAGAUAAGAAGCACCGGCUAACUACGUG
rnacentral:rRNA from 1 species